rnacentral:rRNA from 1 species
CCUAGUUGAUCCUACAAGUAGUCAUAUGCUUGUCUCAAAGAUUAAGUUAUGCAUGUAUAAGUAUGAAAUAAUUCAGACCAUGAAAUUGUAGAUGGUUCAUUAAAUUAUUUAUAGAUUUUUUGAUGGUACCAUACUACUCAAAUAAAUAUAGUAAUUCGAGAGCUAAUAUGUUCACCAUGUCCCAACUCCUUAGAAGGGAUGAAAUUUUUAGAUAAAAGGCUGGUGUCGGCUUGCCCACUUCUUCGGUGAAUCAUGAUAACUCGACGGAUCACACAUCCCUUAUGUUGGUGAUGCUUCAUUCAAAUUUCUUCCCUAUCAACUUUUGAUGGUAGGAUAGAGGCCUACCAUGGUGGUGAUGGGUGAUAGAGAGUUAGGGUUUGAUUCCAGAAAGGGAGCCUGAGAAAUGACUACCAUAUCCAAGGAAGGAAACAUUCACACAAAUUACCCCAUCCUGACAUGGGGAGGUAGUGAAAAUAAAUAACAAUACUCAUCUCAUCGAGUCUAGUAAUUGGAAUGAGUACAAGCUAAAUCCCUCAAUAAGGAUCCAUUGGAGGGAAAUUAUGAUGCUAGUAUUCAUGGUAAUUCCAACUGCAAUAACGUAUAUUUACAUUAUUGCAGUUAAAAAGCUCAUUGUUGGAUAUUGGGUUGCAAAGUUCGGUCUGCCUACUUGGUGUGCACCUGCCUUUUUGUCCCUUUUAUCGGCAGUGUUCUCUUGGCCUUAAUUGGCUAGGUCAUGACUCCAAUGCUAUUACUUUGAAAAAGUUUUAGUUCUCAAAGCAAGCUUAUGCUUUGAGUACAUUAGCAUGGAAUAAGGUGGUAGGAGUUUGGUCCUAUUAUGUUGGCCUUCGGGACCAGAGUAAUGAUUAAUAAGGACUAUUGGGGGCAUUUGUAUUUGAUUGUUAGGGGUUAAAUUCUUGGAUUUAUGAAAUAUGGACCACUACGAAAAAUUUUUCUAAGGAUGUUUUCAUUAAUCAAUAACGAAAGUUGGGGGCUUGAAGACAAUUAGAUACCUUCCUAGUCUCAACCAUAAAUGAUGCCGACCAUGGAUCGACAGAUGUUUCUCUAAGGACUUCGCUAGCACCUUUUGAGAAAAAAGAGUGUUUGGGUUCCAAGGGGAGUAUGGUCACAAGGAUGAAACUUAAAGGAAUUGACGAAAAGGCACCACCAGGAGUGGAGCCUCUAGCUUAUUUGACUCAACACAGGGAAACUUACCAAGUCCAUACAUUUUAAGGGUUGACAGAUUGGGAGAUAUUUCUUGAUUUUAUGGGUGGUGGUGCAUCACCGUUCUUAGCUGGUGGAGCGAUUUGUAUGGUUAAUUCCGAUAAAAAAUGGGAAGUCAACCUUCUAACUAGCUACGUGGAGGUUCCCCUUCGCAACCAUCUUCUUUGAGGGACUAUGGCCAUAUAGGCCAUGGAAUUUUGAGGAAAUAAUAAUUCUAUGAUGCCCUUAUAUGUUCUGGGCCGCAUGCGCUCUACACUGAUGCAACCAACAAUUUUUUCUUCCUAGUUCGAGAGGGUCAAGAAAUAUUCUCAAAUUUCAUCAUGAUGGGGAUAGGCCAUUGCAAUUAUUGGUAUUCAAUGAGGAAUUGCUAGUAAGUGUGUGUCAUCAACUUGUGUUGACUACAUCCUUGCCCUUUGUAGACACCGCCCAUGGCUUCUACUGAUUGAAUGAUCUGGUGAAGUGUUUGGAUUGCGUUGAUGAUGAUGGUUCUUUACCGUCGAUGAUGUGAUAAUUUCAUUGAAUCUUAUCAUUUAUAGGAAGGAGAAGUCGUAACAAGGUUACCAUAGGUAAAACUAUAGUAG